rnacentral:lncRNA from 1 species
AGCCAAGCGCUCCAAGUAAGAAGUGAGCAAGAAAGUACUUAACCUGGUCAAGAAAAUAGCAGAGCUGGAGUGGAAUGUGUGAGGCUGUCGGUCAUCCUAUGUGGGAACGAGGCAUGCAACAUGGAGCUCGAGCUCAUUCAACACAAGGUCUUGGCACCAGGAAGAUUUCAGCAGCCAUAAGCAAUGGCACUUGGGUCUAAAUUUGAUCAGAGGGUAUAUGGACCUGGGUCCUCAUCAUCCAAGUAAAUAAAUGUUCUGUUUUUAUUUCUAUCCUACA